AUUGAACGCUGGCGGCAUGCCUUACACAUGCAAGUCGAACGGCAGCGGGGACUUCGGUCCGCCGGCGAGUGGCGAACGGGUGAGUAAUGUAUCGGAACGUACCAUUCAGUGGGGGAUAACUAUCCGAAAGGAUAGCUAAUACCGCAUAUUCUGUGAGCAGGAAAGCAGGGGAUCGCAAGACCUUGCGCUGAUUGAGCGGCCGAUAUCAGAUUAGCUAGUUGGUGAGGUAAAGGCUCACCAAGGCGACGAUCUGUAGCGGGUCUGAGAGGAUGAUCCGCCACACUGGACCUGAGACACGGUCCAGACUCCUACGGGAGGCAGCAGUGGGGAAUUUUGGACAAUGGGGGCAACCCUGAUCCAGCCAUGCCGCGUGAGUGAAGAAGGCCUUCGGGUUGUAAAGCUCUUUCGGCCGGGAAGAAAUCGUAUGGGUUAAUACCCUGUGCGGAUGACGGUACCGGCAUAAGAAGCACCGGCUAACUACGUGCCAGCAGCCGCGGUAAGAC
rnacentral:rRNA from 1 species